rnacentral:rRNA from 1 species
GACACGGUCCAAACUCCUACGGGAGGCAGCAGUGAGGAAUAUUGGUCAAUGGGCGAGAGCCUGAACCAGCCAAGUAGCGUGAAGGAUGAAGGUCCUACGGAUUGUAAACUUCUUUUAUACGGGAAUAAAGUAUCCUACGUGUAGGAUUUUGUAUGUACCGUAUGAAUAAGCAUCGGCUAACUCCGUGCCAGCAGCCGCGGUAAUACGGAGGAUGCGAGCGUUAUCCGGAUUUAUUGGGUUUAAAGGGAGCGCAGACGGGAGAUUAAGUCAGUUGUGAAAGUUUGCGGCUCAACCGUAAAAUUGCAGUUGAUACUGGUUUCCUUGAGUGCAGUUGAGGCAGGCGGAAUUCGUGGUGUAGCGGUGAAAUGCUUAGAUAUCACGAAGAACUCCGAUUGCGAAGGCAGCUUACUGGACUGUAACUGACGCUGAUGCUCGAAAGUGUGGGUAUCAAACAGGAUUAGAUACCCUGGUAGUCCACACGGUAAACGAUGGAUACUCGCUGUUGGCGAUAUACUGUCAGCGGCCAAGCGAAAGCAUUAAGUAUCCCACCUGGGGAGUACGCCGGCAACGGUGAAACUCAAAGGAAUUGACGGGGGCCCGCACAAGCGGAGGAACAUGUGGUUUAAUUCGAUGAUACGCGAGGAACCUUACCCGGGCUUAAAUUGCAGACGAAUUACCUGGAAACAGGUAAGCCGCAAGGCGUCUGUGAAGGUGCUGCAUGGUUGUCGUCAGCUCGUGCCGUGAGGUGUCGGCUUAAGUGCCAUAACGAGCGCAACCCUCGUGGUCAGUUACUAACAGGUUAAGCUGAGGACUCUGGCCAGACUGCCAUCGUAAGAUGUGAGGAAGGUGGGGAUGACGUCAAAUCAGCACGGCCCUUACGUCC